rnacentral:misc_RNA from 1 species
GACAGAGAUGAGACCUAGCUAUAGUGAUCGUAUUAGGGCAAGAAAUCUCAAAGCUUUUCAUUUCUCUCUCCUAGCAAAAACCGGCGGUCUUGUCAUCGCGUUCUGCUAUUAAUGGAGUCUCUUAGAUCAUCGACGUGAACUAAGGUGGAUUGAGGGUCUUGUUGAAGCUUAGGUGGUCAACGAUGAGGAGUGGGCCUAUGACAAAGAAGAAAGGAAGAAGAAUAUACAUUAAAAAAUAAAGUUAGUGAGGGGUCCAAGGAGAGGGUAUUUAGGUGAUUUUAACUUUUAGUGGGCUAUUAAUAUGUUGGAGGUAAAAUUGUUAAAGGGGGACUUUUGUAAUACUAAAAUUUAAGAAAUCUUUGAUGAUUACAAAUUAAAGUUGAGGAAUUAACAUAAAAUACUCCUUAAAAUUUAGGGAUGAUAAGUGGGUGAAUUUUACCUAUGAUACAUGAAUUUUGAGA